UACGUAGGGUGCAAGCGUUAAUCGGAAUUACUGGGUGUAAAGCGUGCGCAGGCGGUUUCGUAAGACAGAUGUGAAAUCCCCGGGCUUAACCUGGGAAUUGCAUUUGUGACUGCGGGACUAGAGUUUGGCAGAGGGAGGUGGAAUUCCAAGUGUAGCAGUGAAAUGCGUAGAUAUUUGGAAGAACACCGAUGGCGAAGGCAGCCUCCUGGGCCAAGACUGACGCUCAUGCACGAAAGCGUGGGGAGCAAACAGG
rnacentral:rRNA from 1 species